GAUGUAAUAACUGCAUAUUAUAGUGAUUUAAUCACUGAUAAAUGGCAUUAUAGGAGACCAACAAAUCCAAAUAAUUAACAUGAAACUGAGUCUAUUAACAAUUUCAUGUUUCCUGUCUACACACACUUUUUCAAGAACAUGAUAUUCCCAUUAACCAAGAAGAAACAUAGGUGGUGUAAUGGUUUAGACCUAUGCUGAAAAGAAGCAUUUAGAUAUAUGGGGUCAUAAAACAUAUCGCGUACCUUUAUCCAGAUUCAAAUCUCAAAUAGUAUAAUUAUAUAUCUCUCUCACUCUCACUCAUCUUCUACCGCUUAUCCGAACUACCUCGGGUCACGGGGUACCAUGCAUGUCUUUGGACCGGGGGAGGAAACCGGAGUACCCGGAGGAAACCCCCGAGGCACGAUCAAUAUCCUCAAUCAUUACUGUUACAGAACGAUGCCUUAACCCAGAUACACUCAACAAGAUAUAACCAGAGCUCUUAAAACGGUUAGAUGACAGCAGCCAGGAGGUGCGUGUUGAAGCUCUAAAAUCUCUGAGUGCAUGGCUCUCAUCUUUAGACACACAAACAUACCGCCCCAAUCUGGAGUUCUUUUUCCAGCAUUUACUGCUUUACUUAGAUGACCCUGACCACCAAUUCCAGCUUAUGGUCUUGGAUGUUCUGAAAGCCAGUAGUGUUGCAGAGCAUGUUCUUCUGCAGCAGAAAGUGGAGGAAGUGAGAGAGAAGCAGCGCAACUCUGCGUACUGUGAUCAGCUUCUCCAGUAUAUACAUUCCAUCUGAUACACAGCCACAUCAAUGAAUUUUGUUCUAAAAGUCCCUGCUCCUCCACUCCAGUCUUCUCUUCAGCUAUAAGCUCAGAAACAGUUAAACUGUGGCCAUAUGUUCUUUUCAUUUAUGCCACUGCAAAAGCCAGCAUCUUCAACAAUUGUAAAUAGUUGGUAAUUUUUUAUAUCAUGUUGACCAAUGCUCUAUCAAACAUUUUUUCCAGGUACAUGCAAAAUAUUUUAAAUAUAACUGCAGUAAUGAAUAUCAGCCUUUAAAACAAUAACAUACAGUAUCUUACAGAAGUGAGUACACCCCUCACAUUUUUGUAAAUAUUUUAUAACAUCUUUUCAUGUGACAACACUGAAGAAAUGACUGCUGCAAUGAAAAGUAGUGAGUGUACAGCUUGUAUAU